GACACUUUGGCCGAGUGGUUAAGGCGAUGCCCUGCCAAGGCAUUGGGGUCCCACCGCGUUCUUUGGAAUCGCUCAGAAUUCC